AGAGUUUGAUCCUGGCUCAGGACGAACGCUGGCGGCGUGCUUAACACAUGCAAGUCGAACGAGGUGCUUGCACCUAGUGGCGAACGGGUGAGUAACACGUGAGCAACCUGCCCCUGGCUCUGGGAUAGCCUCCGGAAACGGGGAUUAAUACCGGACAUGACCCGCUCUGGCAUCGGAGCGGGUGGAAAGUUUUUCGGCCA
rnacentral:rRNA from 1 species